rnacentral:rRNA from 1 species
AGCGAACGCUGGCGGCAGGCCUAACACAUGCAAGUCGAACGAACUCUUCGGAGUUAGUGGCGGACGGGUGAGUAACACGUGGGAACGUGCCUUUAGGUUCGGAAUAACUCAGGGAAACUUGUGCUAAUACCGAAUGUGCCCUUCGGGGGAAAGAUUUAUCGCCUUUAGAGCGGCCCGCGUCUGAUUAGCUAGUUGGUGAGGUAAAGGCUCACCAAGGCGACGAUCAGUAGCUGGUCUGAGAGGAUGAUCAGCCACGUUGGGACUGAGACACGGCUCAAACUCCUACGGGAGGCAGCAGUGGGGAAUCUUGCGCAAUGGGCGAAAGCCUGACGCAGCCAUGCCGCGUGAAUGAUGAAGGUCUUAGGAUUGUAAAAUUCUUUCACCGGGGACGAUAAUGACGGUACCCGGAGAAGAAGCCCCGGCUAACUUCGUGCCAGCCGCCGCAGUAA